rnacentral:piRNA from 1 species
UGUCCCUGAGUGUGCAUCGGAUGCUCU